CUCAAAUAGGGAAGUUUCAUCCUCCUUGCUUUCUUGUGUGUCCACCCUCCUCUUUUCAGGUUGUUUGUGCUUAGGGCUUGAAGUUUGAAGAUACUGUCCUCGAGUCCCUAGCUGGAAUUGGACUGUUUUGUCUUCAUCACCCAAGCACAAUGGAAAAGCACGUCCAAGCAGAACAGAACAGAAGACUUAAAACUUAAAGGCAUUAUACCAUACUGGA